AUUGAACGCUGGCGGCAUGCCUUACACAUGCAAGUCGAACGGCAGCGCGGGGGCAACCCUGGCGGCGAGUGGCGAACGGGUGAGUAAAAUAUCGGAACGUGCCCUAAAGUGGGGGAUAACGUAGCGAAGGUUACGCUAAUACCGCAUAAGAUCUAAGGAUGAAAGCGGGGGAUCGCAAGACCUCGUGCUUUAGGAGUGGCCGAUAACUGAUUAGCUAGUUGGUAGGGUAAAGGCUCACCAAGGCGACGAUCAGUAGCUGGUCUGAGAGGACGACCAGCCACCAUGGGACUGAGACACGGCACAGACUACUAGGGGAGGCAGCAGUGGGGAAUUUUGGACAAUGGGGGCAACCCUGAUCCAGCGAUGCCGCGGGUGUGAAGAAGGCCUUCGGGUUGUAAAGCACUUUUGUUCGGGACGAAACGGUUUGGGCUAAUGCCCUGAGCUAAUGACGGUACCGAAAGAAUAAGCACCGGCUAACUACGUGCCAGCAGCCGCCGUAA
rnacentral:rRNA from 1 species